UACGGAAGGCAGCAGUGGGGAAUAUUGCACAAUGGGCGCAAAGCCUGAUGCAGCCAUGCCGCGUGUAUGAAGAAGGCCUUCGGGUUGUAAAGUACUUUCAGUCGUGAGGAAGGUGUUAAGGUUAAUAACCUUAGCAAUUGACGUUAGCGACAGAAGAAGCACCGGCUAACUCCGUGCCAGCAGCCGCGGUAAUACGGAGGGUGCGAGCGUUAAUCGGAAUUACUGGGCGUAAAGGGCACGCAGGCGGUUAAUUAAGUUGGAUGUGAAAUCCCCGGGCUUAACCUGGGAAUGGCAUUCAAGACUGGUUAGCUAGAGUCUUGUAGAGGGGGUUAGAAUUCCAUGUGUAGCGGUGAAAUGCGUAGAGAUGUGGAGGAAUACCGGUGGCGAAGGCGGCCCCUGGGACAAAGACUGACGCUCAUGUGCGAAAGCGUGGGGAGCAAACGAGGAUUAGAUACC
rnacentral:rRNA from 1 species